AAACUUAAAUGAAUUGACGGGGCCCGCACAAGCGGUGGAGCAUGUGGUUUAAUUCGACGCAACGCGAAGAACCUUACCAGGGCUUGACAUCCCCUGACCGCGUAUGAAAGUACGUUUUCACCCUCGGGUGACAGGGAGACAGGUGGUGCAUGGUUGUCGUCAGCUCGUGUCGUGAGAUGUUGGGUUAAGUCCCGCAACGAGCGCAACCCCUACGUUUAGUUGCUAACGCGUGAAGGCGAGCACUCUAGACGAACUGCCGUUGACAAAACGGAGGAAGGUGGGGAUGACGUCAAAUCAUCAUGCCCCUUAUGUUCUGGGCUACACACGUGCUACAAUGGCCGGUACAGACGGACGCAAAGCCGCGAGGUGGAGCAAAUCCUAAAAACCAUCCUCAGUACGGAUUGCAGGCUGAAACCCGCCUGCAUGAAGCCGGAGUUGCUAGUAACCGCAUAUCAGCAUGGUGCGGUGAAUACGUUCUCGGGCCUU
rnacentral:rRNA from 1 species